rnacentral:rRNA from 1 species
GUGGGGAAUAUUGGGCAAUGGGGGAAACCCUGACCCAGCAACGCCGCGUGAGGGAAGAAGGUUUUCGGAUUGUAAACCUCUGUCCUUGGUGACGAAGGAAGUGACGGUAGCCAAGGAGGAAGCCCCGGCUAACUACGUGCCAGCAGCCGCGGUAAUACGUAGGGGGCAAGCGUUGUCCGGAAUGACUGGGCGUAAAGGGCGUGUAGGUGGCCGAUUAAGUCUGGAGUGAAAGUCCUGCUUUCAAGGUGGGAAUUGCUUUGGAGACUGGUUGGCUUGAGUGCGGAAGAGGUAAGUGGAAUUCCCAGUGUAGCGGUGAAAUGCGUAGAGAUUGGGAGGAACACCAGUGGCGAAGGCGACUUACUGGGCCGUAACUGACGCUGGGGCGCGAAAGCGUGGGGAGCGAACAGGAUUAGAUACCCUUGUAGUCC